rnacentral:lncRNA from 1 species
UCUAUACUUGAGUUGACCUCGUACCAUUCUUUUAAACUUAAUUUAUUUUCCAACUCAUAGAUUUUUUUUUGUCAGAAUGUCAGGUCCGAAGAUAUACUCAUAAAAGUUCCAGGUCCAAAUGCAUGUAUGAUAAAAACAUAUUCGACUCGGCUCUCUAAAACUCGAUGAUAUACCUGACGUAUAUUAUUGUAAUUUAUGUAAUUAUAUUUUUAUGCUUCAAUUUUUUGUGAAAUUAUCAUAAAAAAUUUAAAAUUUUUAGCCACUUCUUUAAUCUCACAUGUCGCUUGUUAUCAAAAUUUCACCUCCUUUUUUUUUGGCUAAAAAAAAGAGGAGGAGAAUUAACCCCACUCGCAUAGCAGCCCCCACUGGGCCAUCUUUCCACCAGAGAAUGUCUGAUGCGGGUAGACAAUACACUCAUACCCUUCCCGACCCGUGGUUACCCACGUGUACCAGAAGCGCUCCCAUUGAGCGCGUCCAAGCAAAGGGUAUCCGGUCUCCAUAUUUAAUCAACGUCCGCGUGUUUCGAACCUGGGCCACAUCGGUGAAAACAAAACCCCGUUCCAUUUGUGCUACCACCUCGGUUGUACCGUCAUCCCACCUUUAAUCUCACUUUUUUGACUAAGGUGAUAGGAAGGGCUGAGAUAGCUUGAGGUGAUGCCGCUGGAAGCUUUAAGCAAUUGGUUUUAUCAGAAUUGUCGGAUCCAAGAUCCAAUGAGCGGUAGCACAGUUUAGCCUCGAUCUCAUGCUCUUUUUACUCAAUACUAAGUUAACAAACAGCUUAUUGACCGCGCAUCCAUCCCUUUUCCCACCCAAUACUGCACUGUCUCUCGAAUCCUCCAUCUUGUUCUUUGAGACUUGUUACUUUUUGACUUUUUUUUGAAUAUAUUCAUUUGUUGUGGAAAAAAAAACUAUUUCCGCAUCCAUCUUUUUCUGUAUUAAAACAUACUAAAUUUAGGAGGACAAUUUAUGACUUAAUCCAUCAAUCCGAUCUAUGAACGAUCCAUUUCGGAUUUAAUAUAAAUAGGUUUGUGUCGUAGCCAGGUCAACUUAUCUAAACCUAUUUAUUAAAUGAAUUGGAUUCAGAUUUAGAUCUUUGACCCAUUUAACCUAUUUUGAUCUAUUUAAUAAUUAGAUCGAAUUAUAACCCAAUUCAUUUAAUCUAUUUAAAAUUUAUUUAACAUGUUUAAAUUUUACUUAACCUAUUUUUAUCCUAUUUAACUCGAACUGCUUAAUCUAUUUGAUCUGUUUAAAUCUAUUUGAUCUGUUUAAAUCUAUUUAAUCUAUUAAAAAUCUACUUAGCCUAUUUAAUCCAUUUAACCUAAUUUAACUUGUUUAAUAAACAAGCCGAAUUUAGAUAUGAAUUUUUAAUCUAUCUAAUAAACAAGUUAAGUUUGGGUGGUUGAAUUUUUGAUCUGACCGACAUUUGACCCGAUCCGUAUCUGAUCGGGUCUAACUUGAUUGCCAACCCU